UCUCGAUUAGUAUAGUGGUCAGUAUGCCAGCUUGUCAUUCUUCACUCAAGUAGUGGAAUUUGAGCGCUGGAGACCGGGGUUCAAUUCCCCGAUCGAGAG